rnacentral:rRNA from 1 species
UACAGAGGUCCCAAGCGUUGUUCGGAUUCACUGGGCGUAAAGGGUGCGUAGGCGGUCGGGUAAGUCUGAUGUGAAAUCUCUGGGCUUAACCCAGAAAUGGCAUUGAAUACUAUUCGGCUAGAGAAUCGGAGGGGGGGCUGGAAUACUUGGUGUAGCAGUGAAAUGCGUAGAUAUCAAGUGGAACACCAGUGGCGAAGGCGAGUCCCUGGACGAUUUCUGACGCUGAGGCGCGAAAGCUAGGGGAGCAAACAGG